GUCCCCAUCGUCUAGCGGCCUAGGACAUCGCCCUUUCACGGCGGUAACCGGGGUUCGAAUCCCCGUGGGGACGCCA
rnacentral:tRNA from 1 species